rfam:Picea glauca, whole genome shotgun sequence.
ACAUGCCUACAACAUAGCAUUAAUGUACUGUAUCCCAUUAGAAUUCCACAGUUAAGCAUGCUCGGUCUAAAGUAAUAUUCAGAUGGGUGACUGCCCAGGAAGUCCUAGUAUUUUACAUGCC